rnacentral:misc_RNA from 1 species
CACACACACACAAGCACCAAAAUAAAAGAGAGUUUUCAGAAGAUGAUAAUCAAAAUUCAAAGUUACAUUGUUUAUCAACUGUCUAUUUAUAUAGAAAUUUACUACCAGGUACAAUGGUACUUUAAUUACAAACAGGUCUUCAGAAAAAGGUCCUAAUGAAGAAAUUGAGAGUUAUCUAUGACAGCAAGUGUAGAGCUGCAUUUUUAUUGUGCUUUCUUUCCAUCUGAAUUUAUUGGUUGAAAGAUUUGAAAACCCAAUAUCUUUUUCAAAGGAGAUACUAAAAUCAUAACCAAUCUAUUUUUUUAAGCAUUUCACAAUUUAAUGAUCACUUGACAUGAAAAAUUUAGAUAAGGUUCAGUAUCUGCCAUUUUAUAGUGUUUUCUUCUUUCUUCUGUUCUGAUUUUUUAUAAUAUAGAUUAGUGGUCAAAUUGGGUACAUUAUUUAUUUUACCUUCCGUUAAUGCAGUUUAUAUCCUUCUCUACUCUUUCAAUGAAAUAGGACACUUGAUAUUUUCAUUGAAUUUUAAUUUAUAAUCAAUAAUCCUUUUUAUAUAUAUUCUCAGUCAACUGAGUAAACAGCAGAACUGAGACUGAUAUCAAACACACUUUUUGAAGGGACAAAAACAAGGAUCUUAAGGGAUCACAUGAUUCUUAUCAGAACCCCAAAUAUCUAUCCAGAGCUCCAUUCCAAACUUGCAAAACAGGGUGACACAUUUUACUAUCUAAAAGUUUCUUUUUCAAUUUAAAAAAGAUUUUUUUCCCCUUCUUGGCAAUCUAAAGGGGGUUGUUAUUGCUCAAACAAAAAAUGGGUUCUGUGAAAUUGGAAGUAUCAGGGUUUCAUUUUGAUAAUAAAUUGAUGAUAAGUGGAGAUUUAAUUUUAUUCUAGUAUGACAAAUAUAACUCAGCCCCUAUAACAUUAUAGCUCCACCACCAUAUGUUUAGAAAAUUUUGCAAGUAAAAUCACCUAGCAAAGCCAAAAUUUCUCAAGCAAUGAAAAGGAAUAGAUUAUCACAAAGCCUAGAUUUCAUAUUGAACUCACAACAAACAGUAAUAAUGCAAAAGCUUAAAUUGGCAGCAUGAUAUCAGUAAUUCGAUGGACCACAAACACAAAUUGAAAGAAAAAGGUUUCAGACCAGAUCAAGAACAUGAAUAGGCUGGAAGAUUGCUUGGGUGUGCCAAUCAAAAAGUAAGGAUUAUGCCUGUCCGUUGUAGGCUUACAUCUAGAGGAUUCAGACAAAUCACAAAAUUCUACGAAAAUGUCUCCAACAUCCUUUUUGAAACUCAUUGAUUAUUGGUCUCAUGCCAUAUUUACCAGUUAUUCUAUUUAGUAAGAAAAGAAACUCGGUCUAAAUUCAAAUUUGAAGGAAAAAAGUCACUUGGACAGGAUAAACAGUAUACUUUUAACCAUUAUGAUAAAAGAUUACUCUGAUUAGACUUAUUGAAUAUUGAAGGUCAUAUAUUAUUAUACAGAAGCACCAUCUUGACAAAGACAAAUAGUAGCAUAAGCAAAAAUGCACGCAUGAACAUUGCACAUAUAUCUACAAAUCGAGUUCGACAAGAAGCUGGGCUAACAAAGAAAUGCAAAAUAACAAAGAAUAGCAUAAGCAAACCUGGAUGCUCAGACACAACAACUCUGCAAGUCUCUUCACAGUAAUCCUUGAAUAGUACUUAGAAACAACAAGGAUAUUAUGUUCAAUUAUUCUUUGCUUCAAAUCUUCUGCUGCUUUGUCACCCAAAGAGCCUCCAAGCAAGUCCUUCUCAGUGUCAAACUCAUCAUUGUAUGUAUUCCAAAGAGAUGUCCAUUGGAUGACCUCCAUUGUGACCAAUUGUUUCAAAAGCACCUUAAAUUUCGGAAUUUCAGAAAGAUGUUUAUCCUCCAAGGUAGAAUUCAAAAGGCUUGAUUGCAUUGGAUCAUGUGGUGACAGUACCAAGUACCAACAGAUUUUCCUCAAGACCGGAAUCCACUGAGCUGGGUUUUCCUUUACAGAAGGGAUUUCAUAUAUGGCCUUGUAGCAACGGCAAAUUUCAAGGUAAUCAUUGUUAUGGGAGUAAUACCUAGAGAGAGUGGAAAACACAGUGUAAGAUAUAUCUCUAUUUCUAAUGGCAACAAAUUUAAGGUGUGCAACCAUAUUUACAUAAAGCAGUAAUCAUUCAAAGAUAAAGCUAAUACAUUUGUUUAAAACAUAAGGCUUACAAAUUAUCAACAUUGCAAUUGGAAGCCAAAAAGCAAGCCCCAAAGUUUUCAUAAUAAGUGGCACUGUAACACAUAGGUUCUAUGCUAACUCAAGAUACUGUGAAAGUACAAUGGACUCCUACCAAACAUGCCACAUCACAAAAAUUAUUAUGAAAUAUAUCACAAAGAAACACAUUUCGUAUCAUGAACCUUGGAAAGAAAACCUUGACACUGUAGUCAUAAAUCAUACAAAUCCACAAAAUGAAAUCUAAGCACCACAACAUAUAAUACAUUGAGAAGCUAUUCAACAUUCUUGUUUGUAGAUUUAUAACCUUGGAAACUAAGACUUGCUGACACCAGCUUACCUCCAGCUCAAACAUAAAUUAGAAAACAAAGCAACUCCCUAAGAUAUGAAACACAGGGCCACAACUAUGCAUGAGAAUAUGCAAAUUCGUUAAGUCAAUAAUACAUGUUAAUCUGCAUUUCCAAUUGAAUGGGAAGGGGGUGUUUGUUUGUCCAAACAACCAAUGAAUGCAUUAUCAUGAAAAAUAUAUAUCACCUGUCAAAGGUUACAAAAUUGCUCCAUAUAUCUUACCAUCAGUAUUCAAUAAGCAACAUGUCUUAAAAACACCAAACGCCAUUCAGAGUUUAUGCAGUACAUAACUCCAAGCCAAAGAACAAAUCAUAUUCCCAAAAGGCCAGGCAAAACAUGAACCCCAGAACAAGUAAAACACAGUCUCAGCAUCCCAAAAAAUUAUUGUGAAGGUGCAAUAGUAAAAUAUCUGCAAUAUCAUAGUCUUUAAAAUCAAUUUUCUGAGACAAGACAACAGUAAAGAGAACCACAAAAGAGCAAAUCAUUUUUCAAAGAUGAAAACUCUCAAUUGAAUGAGUAUUG